rnacentral:rRNA from 1 species
UGGGGGAAGAAGGCUCUUGGGUUGUAAACCCCUUUUCUCUGGGAAGAAAGUUGUGAAAGCAACCUGACGGUACCAGAGGAAUCAGCAUCGGCUAACUCCGUGCCAGCAGCCGCGGUAAGACGGAGGAUGCAAGCGUUAUCCGGAAUGAUUGGGCGUAAAGCGUCCGCAGGUGGCAGUUCAAGUCUGCUGUCAAAGACCGGGGCUCAACCUCGGAAAGGCAGUGGAAACUGAACAGCUAGAGUAUGGUAGGGGCAAAGGGAAUUCCUGGUGUAGCGGUGAAAUGCGUAGAGAUCAGGAAGAACAUCGGUGGCGAAGGCGCUUUGCUGGACCAUAACUGACACUCAGGGACGAAAGCUAGGGGAGCGAAUGGGAUUAGAUACCCCAGUAGUCCUAGCCGUAAACGAUGGAUACUAGGUGUUGUCUGUAUCGACCCGGACAGUGCCGUAGCUAACGCGUUAAGUAUCCCGCCUGGGGAGUACGCACGCAAGUGUGAAACUCAAAGGAAUCGACGGGGGCCCGCACAAGCGGUGGAGUAUGUGGUUUAAUUCGAUGCAACGCGAAGAACCUUACCAGGACUUGACAUGUCGCGAAUCUUCCUGAA